AUAAACGCUGGCGGCGUGCCUAAUACAUGCCGGUCGAGCGAACAGACGAGGAGCUUGCUCCUCUGAUGUUAGCGGCGGACGGGUGAGUAACACGUGGAUAACCUACCUAUAAGACUGGGAUAACUUCGGGAAACCGGAGCUAAUACCGGAUAACAUGUUGAACCGCAUGGUUCAACAGUGAAAGACGGUCUUGCUGUCACUUAUAGAUGGAUCCGCGCCGCAUUAGCUAGUUGGUAAGGUAACGGCUUACCAAGGCAACGAUGCGUAGCCGACCUGAGAGGGUGAUCGGCCACACUGGAACGGAGACACGGUCCAGACUCCUACGGGAGGCAGCAGUAGGGAAUCUUCCGCAAUGGGCGAAAGCCUGACGGAGCAACGCCGCGUGAGUGAAGAAGGUCUUCGGAUCGUAAAACUCUGUUAUUAGGGAAGAACAAAUGUGUAAGUAACUAUGCACGUCUUGACGGUACCUAAUCAGAAAGCCACGGCUAACUACGUG
rnacentral:rRNA from 1 species